rnacentral:rRNA from 1 species
UACGGGGGGUGCGAGCGUUGUCCGGAAUCACUGGGCGUAAAGGGCGCGUAGGCGGCUAGAUAAGUCGGGGGUGAAAGCCUGUGGCUCAACCACAGAAUUGCCUUCGAUACUGUCUGGCUUGAGACCGGAAGAGGUUAGUGGAACUGCGAGUGUAGAGGUGAAAUUCGUAGAUAUUCGCAAGAACACCAGUGGCGAAGGCGGCUCUCUGGAACGCAACUGACGCUGAGACGCGAAAGCGUGGGGAGCAAACAGG